GCAUUGUGACCCGGCGGACUUAAGCAUAUCAAUAAGCGGAGGAAAAGAAACCAACAGGGAUUGCCCUAGUAACGGCGAGUGAAGCGGCAACAGCUCAAAUUUGAAAUCUGGCUCUUUCAGAGUCCGAGUUGUAAUUUGCAGAGGGUGCUUUGGUGGUAGUUGCGGUCUAAGUUCUUUGGAACAGGACGUCACAGAGGGUGAGAAUCCCGUAUGUGGUCGCUACUUAUCACCGUGUAAAGCCCCUUCGACGAGUCGAGUUGUUUGGGAAUGCAGCUCUAAAUGGGAGGUAAAUUUCUUCUAAAGCUAAAUACUGGCCAGAGACCGAUAGCGCACAAGUAGAGUGAUCGAAAGAUGAAAAGCACUUUGGAAAGAGAGUCAAAUAGCACGUGAAAUUGUUGAAAGGGAAGCGCUUGCAGCCAGACUUGCCUGUAGUUGCUUACCUAGACUUUUGUCUGGGGUACUCUUCUGCAGGCAGGCCAGCAUCAGUUUGGGCGGUUGGAUAAAGGUCUCUGUCACGUACCUCCUUUCGGGGAGGCCUUAUAGGGGAGACGUCAUACAACCAGCCUGGACUGAGGUCCGCGCAUCUGCUAGGAUGCUGGCGUAAUGGCUGUAAGCGGCCCGUCUUGAAACACGGACCAAGGAGUCUAACAUCUAUGCGAGUGUUUGGGUGUCAAGCCCAUACGCGUAAUGAAAGUGAACGGAGGUGGGAACCUUAGGGUGCACCAUCGACCGAUCCUGAUGUCUUCGGAUGGAUUUGAGUAAGAGCAUGGCUGUUGGGACCCGAAAGAUGGUGAACUAUGCUUGAAUAGGGUGAAGCCAGAGGAAACUCUGGUGGAGGCUCGCAGCGGUUCUGACGUGCAAAUCGAUCGUCAAAUUUGGGCAUAGGGGCGAAAGACUAAUCGAACUAUCUAGUAGC
rnacentral:rRNA from 1 species